GUCAUGGCUCAGUGGUUGAGCAUCAGCCUAUGAACCUGGAGGUCAUGGUUCGAUUCCUGGUCAGGACA
rnacentral:tRNA from 1 species